ACAGUCGACUGUUUGGUCGGUAAACAGUCGACUGUUUGGUGGGUAAACAGUCGAAACAGUCGACUGUUAAAAGAAAAUAAAACACCCGGAAUAAGCCAAAAUUUAAAUUUCAUUUUGUACCCAAGAAUUUGAUUAUUUACAAUUUGGCCCAAAAUUUUAAAUAAAUUUUGUCCAAAAAGUUAAUAUAGUGUAAAGGUCGACCCGGACCCGCA
rnacentral:lncRNA from 1 species